AUACGGAGGAUGCAAGCGUUAUCCGGAUUUAUUGGGUUUAAAGGGUGCGUAGGCGGUUUGCUAAGCGGGAGGUGAAAUGCCGGCGCUCAACGUCGGAAGUGCCUCCCGAACUGGUGGACUUGAAUGACUCUGCCGUGGGAGGAAUGUGUAGUGUAGCGGUGAAAUGCUUAGAGAUUACACAGAACACCGAUUGCGAAGGCAUCUCACGAAGGGUUGAUUGACGCUCGGGCACGAAAGCGUGGGGAUCGAACAGGAUUAGAUACCCUGGUAGUCCACGCCGUAAACGAUGGGCGCUCGUCGUCGGCGACAGACAGUCGGCGGCCAAGCGAAAGCGAUAAGCGCCCCACCUGGGGAGUACGGUCGCAAGGCUGAAACUCAAAUGAAUUGACGGGG
rnacentral:rRNA from 1 species